GGGAGGGUGGGGGUGGAAGGCCCUUUCCGGGAAACAAGAUGGUGUCAGUCAGGGAAAAGAAGGCAGAGGGACACCAGGAACUUCUCAGGAACUGGGAAUACAAAAAACAAAAAUAAAAGUAAACACAGAUGGGUGGCGGCAUAUAAACAGAGCUCCGAGGGAAGGAGGCGAGCAAAAGAAAGAAGGAAGGAUAAAAGAGGAAGAAGAAAGAACUCACAGGAAGCAACAGCAGCUCGGAGGGGACAUGGUGUACCCAGGAGAGCCACAGAGGACAGGAAGCCGGAGACCAGCACGGCUGACAUCCUGCCAGGGGUUUCCCAAGCUGUCUCAUAGGGCUGGGCUCGCGUUGCCAGCGCUGGGAAUCCCUGGAGUCCCCGAGGCCCGGCUUCUGCGAAGGAUCAGUGAAGGGGGGCGCUCCCCGGGGACCUCUGGAAUCAGCCCCUCAACACCAGCUUCCGUCGUCACGUGACUGCAUCCCAGGUGUCUCCCUCUGUGGCUGGCUUGUCCCCGGCUUGCUCCUCUAGACUGCAGGACGGGGAGCUCGGGUGCCACGCCGGGAGAGGGGUUGCUGCUCCCUAGUGGACCCCCGCGCCACCUGCCCCCAUCAGUGCUAAUCCGGGGCCCACACGAGUCUGGGGUCCCACCAGGGAGCGAUUGGCCACGCAGAGGUCUGAGCCCUCCGAGCCUGGUGAGGGUGGGGCCCCCGCGUACCGAGUUGGCGCUCCAGCCCCCCUGCCCAAGCGCGCUCGCGACGACGGAGGGCUGC
rnacentral:lncRNA from 1 species